GACGAACGCUGGCGGCGUGCUUAACACAUGCAAGUCGAACGGAAAGGCCCUGCUCUUGCGGGGUGCUCGAGUGGCGAACGGGUGAGUAACACGCGAGUAACCUGCCCCUGACUUUGGGAUAACUUCAGGAAACUGGGGCUAAUACCGGAUAGGAGCUCCUGCUGCAUGGUGGGGGUUGGAAAGUUUCGGCGGUUGGGGAUGGACUCGCGGCUUAUCAGCUUGUUGGUGGGGUAGUGGCUUACCAAGGCUUUGACGGAUAGCCGGCCUGAGAGGGUGACCGGCCACAUUGGGACUGAGAUACGGAGCAGACUCCUACGGGAGGCAGCGGUGGGAAAUAUUGCACAGUGGGCGGGAGCCUGAUGCAGCAGCGCCGCGUGCGGGAUGACGGCCUUCGGGUUGUAAACCGCUUUCGCCUGUGACGAAGCGUGAGUGACGGUAAUGGGUAAGGAAGCACCGGCUAACUACGUG
rnacentral:rRNA from 1 species